rnacentral:rRNA from 1 species
UUUCCGAACCGGCAGCACGGACUUCGGUCUGGUGGCGAGUGGCGAACGGGUGAGUAAUGUAUCGGAACGUGCCCGGUAGCGGGGGAUAACUACGCGAAAGCGUAGCUAAUACCGCAUACGCCCUACGGGGGAAAGCAGGGGAUCGCAAGACCUUGCACUAUUGGAGCGGCCGAUAUCGGAUUAGCUAGUUGGUGGGGUAACGGCUCACCAAGGCGACGAUCCGUAGCUGGUUUGAGAGGACGACCAGCCACACUGGGACUGAGACACGGCCCAGACUCCUACGGGAGGCAGCAGUGGGGAAUUUUGGACAAUGGGGGAAACCCUGAUCCAGCCAUCCCGCGUGUGCGAUGAAGGCCUUCGGGUUGUAAAGCACUUUUGGCAGGAAAGAAACGUCGCGGGUUAAUACCUCGCGAAACUGACGGUACCUGCAGAAUAAGCACCGGCUAACUACGUGCCAGCAGCCGCGGUAAUACGUAGGGUGCAAGCGUUAAUCGGAAUUACUGGGCGUAAAGCGUGCGCAGGCGGUUCGGAAAGAAAGAUGUGAAAUCCCAG